GAACAAGAAGGGGAUCUGGCUGAAACAUCUGAGUCUUCUUCUAGGACCAGGGCUUAUUGCAUUCUUCAGGCUACUUAAGUAGGUGGCUCCUUCCUUCCUCAUUGCCUCAAGUGUGUUCCUCCAGUGCUUGGACAUGAAGGCUGCCCUUCUCUGUGGAAAGGGGCCUCUUUCCAGUCAAUGAUAACUGGACAUUUUCCCACUGGAAUGUAUAAACAAGCUUUGAGGUCUCAAACUCCUU
ensembl:misc_RNA 7SK 7SK RNA